GUAGGGAAUAUUGGGCAAUGGUCGGAACCCUGAUCCAGCCAUGCCGCGUGUGUGAAGAAGGCCUUUUGGUUGUAAAGCACUUUAAGCGAGGAGGAGGCUACCGAGAUUAAUACUCUUGGAUAGUGGACGUUACUCGCAGAAUAAGCACCGGCUAACUCUGUGCCAGCAGCCGCGGUAAUACAGAGGGUGCGAGCGUUAAUCGGAUUUACUGGGCGUAAAGCGUGCGUAGGCGGCUUUUUAAGUCGGAUGUGAAAUCCCCGAGCUUAACUUGGGAAUUGCAUUCGAUACUGGGAAGCUAGAGUAUGGGAGAGGAUGGUAGAAUUCCAGGUGUAGCGGUGAAAUGCGUAGAGAUCUGGAGGAAUACCGAUGGCGAAGGCAGCCAUCUGGCCUAAUACUGACGCUGAGGUACGAAAGCAUGGGGAGCAAACAGGAUUAGAAACCCCGGUAGUCC
rnacentral:rRNA from 1 species